GACGAACGCUGGCGGCGUGCUUAACACAUGCAAGUCGAGCGGAAAGGCCCCUUUGGGGGUACUCGAGCGGCGAACGGGUGAGUAACACGUGAGUAACCUGCCCCUGACUCUGGGAUAAGCCUGGGAAACUGGGUCUAAUACCGGAUGUGACACUCUCUCGCAUGGGAUGGGUGUGGAAAGUCGGUGUUUAAUAGACACUGUUCGGUUGGGAUGGGCUCGCGGCCUAUCAGCUUGUUGGUGGGUAGUGGCCUACCAAGGCGA
rnacentral:rRNA from 1 species